AAUUUGUUGAUGAAACUGAUAUUGCUAGUACAUCUCAAAGAAGGAAAAGGGGGACUAAUAGAGGUGUGACUAAUAUUCCAAGUUUUGAGGUUACACUGACACGAACUUAUGCAAAAGGCUAUUUGUUUAGGAUUCCAUGUGAUUUUUCAAGAAGAUACAUGGAAGGUUUUGAAGGGAUUGCAAGGAUAAGAAUGGUUGGUGAGGAUCGGACAUGGAAGGUGGGGGUGAAGUAUGAUCGGGAACGUGAUUAUUCCGUUGUGAAAAGUGGUUGGAAGCCAUUUUCCAAGGAAUAUAACUUGCAAAUUGGUGAUGUUUGUAUGUUUAAGAUGACUCGAUCCGAACCACUUUUUUUUACUAUUACUACUAUUAAGCGAGCCUCAGAGCAACGAAGUCGUAAGAAGUAG